rnacentral:rRNA from 1 species
AUGCUCUUCGUAAUGGAGAUCGACACAGGGAACAAGGGCAAGGAGGUGGUGCCACCCAUGGUGAAGGACAAAGAGGUGGUGCCGCCCAUGGAGGUUGUGCCAACCAUGCCUGAGGAGGUGGCCACGGAUGACUACGUGGUGUCAGAGGAGCCCCCUAGCGGGAAGCGCUGGAACUACAAGCACUACCAUGAGGAGGGUCCAACCCACUUCUGCAAAGUGAUCCUUGCCCCUCAGCUUGAGUGCAUCCUGAUGCCCCUGGACUUCAGCAAGCACUUUCCGGCUGUGCCGCAAGACUUCAAACUGAUAAGAACACCGACUGCUCAUGGAGGGUCACUAUCCGACCGAUGGACGACAAGGUGA